AGCGAACGCUGGCGGCAGGCUUAACACAUGCAAGUCGAGCGGGCCCUUCGGGGUCAGCGGCGGACGGGUGAGUAACGCGUGGGAAUGUGCCUUCUGGUCUGGAAUAACCCUGGGAAACUAGGGCUAAUACCGGAUACGCCCUUUUGGGGAAAGGUUUACUGCCGGAAGAUCGGCCCGCGUCUGAUUAGCUAGUUGGUGGGGUAACGGCCUACCAAGGCGACGAUCAGUAGCUGGUCUGAGAGGAUGAUCAGCCACACUGGGACUGAGACACGGCCCAGACUCCUACGGGAGGCAGCAGUGGGGAAUAUUGGACAAUGGGCGCUAGCCUGAUCCAGCCAUGCCGCGUGAGUGAUGAAGGCCUUAGGGUUGUAAAGCUCUUUUAUCCGGGACGAUAAUGACGGUACCGGAGGAAUAAGCCCCGGCUAACUUCGUG
rnacentral:rRNA from 1 species